rnacentral:rRNA from 1 species
GAUGAACGCUGGCGGCGUGCCUAAUACAUGCAAGUCGAGCGAACAGACGAGGAGCUUGCUCCUCUGACGUUAGCGGCGGACGGGUGAGUAACACGUGGAUAACCUACCUAUAAGACUGGGAUAACUUCGGGAAACCGGAGCUAAUACCGGAUAAUAUAUUGAACCGCAUGGUUCAAUAGUGAAAGACGGUUUUGCUGUCACUUAUAGAUGGAUCCGCGCCGCAUUAGCUAGUUGGUAAGGUAACGGCUUACCAAGGCGACGAUGCGUAGCCGACCUGAGAGGGUGAUCCGCCACACUGGAACUGAGACACGGUCCAGACUCCUACGGGAGGCAGCCGUAGGGAAUCUUCCGCAAUGGGCGAAAGCCUGACGGAGCAACGCCGCGUGAGUGAUGAAGGUCUUCGGAUCGUAAAACUCUGUUAUUAGGGAAGAACAAAUGUGUAAGUAACUAUGCACGUCUUGACGGUACCUAAUCAGAAAGCCACGGCUAACUACGUG